rnacentral:rRNA from 1 species
AAUGAACGUUGGCGGCGUGGAUUAGGCAUGCAAGUCGUACGCAUAGCUUCGGCUAUGAGUGGCGCAAGGGUGAGUAAUGCGAAGGUAACCAACCCUGGUGUUGGGCAUAGCCGCGGGAAACUGCGGGUAAUUCCCAGCGACGUCACGAGAUGGCAUCAUCUUGUGACCAAAGGUGUGAUUCCGCUCUAGGACGGGCCUUCGUGGUAUUAGGUAGUUGGUGAGGUAACGGCUCACCAAGCCGACGAUGCCUACCGGGUGUGAGAGCAUGACCCGGCACACUGGAACUGAGACACUGUCCAGACACCUACGGGUGGCUGCAGUCGAGAAUCUUCGGCAAUGGGCGAAAGCCUGACCGAGCGACGCCGCGUGAGGGAUUGAAGGCCUUCGGGUUAUAAACCUCUUCGUAGAGAAGGAGGGCCGUGAAGAACGGUCUUUGACCUAUUCUAGGAAGAAGCUUGGGCUAAGUUCGUGCCAGCAGCCGCGGUAAU